UUUAAAAAAAAUGUUCCAACAGUAUAUCCUUUCUUGUUCUACCGUUCGGUUCUGUUUCCGAAAAAGAAAAAAAAAGCAAAGGAAAUGGUCUGAGCAUUUUUCUAUCCGUUUUCAUUCCUAGCCCUUUAGCCAUAAAUAUUAAAUAUUAAUAUUUAGCACAAGUUUUGGUCAUUUUUUACAAU
rnacentral:miRNA from 1 species